AACGAACGCUGGCGGCAUGCCUAACACAUGCAAGUCGAACGAGAUCUUCGGGUCUAGUGGCGCACGGGUGCGUAACGCGUGGGAAUCUGCCCUUUGGCUCGGAAUAACAGUUGGAAACGACUGCUAAUACCGGAUGAUGACGAAAGUCCAAAGAUUUAUCGCCAGAGGAUGAGCCCGCGUAGGAUUAGCUAGUUGGUGUGGUAAAGGUGCACCAAGGCGACGAUCCUUAGCUGGUCUGAGAGGAUGAUCAGCCACACUGGGACUGAGACACGGCCCAGACUCCUACGGGAGGCAGCAGUGGGGAAUAUUGGACAAUGGGCGAAAGCCUGAUCAAGCAAUGCCGCGUGAGUGAUGAAGGCCUUAGGGUUGUAAAGCUCUUUUACCCGGGAUGAUAAUGACAGUACCGGGAGAAUAAGCUCCGGCUAACUCCGUGCCAGCCGCCGCCGUAA
rnacentral:rRNA from 1 species